ACUUCUGUAGCAGCUUCCAGACUACUCAACUAGUAUAAUCUGAGAGGUGGUAGGCAUGAGGAUUUUGAUUCUUUCAUAAUAAGAAAAUCCCAAGGUGCAGAAAGUGUUACUUUUGGAUUUUGAAGAUGACAAACUUUAUUGAUUUUGUACAGAACACUAUCAGACUCUAUGUACAGUGGUCCAAACUUAUGUGGAUACCAGAACUAAAGAAACACUAGCUACAUCUAAAUUACGAGUACACGUAAUAACCUCGGAUAAUUCCGUACGACUUCAAAUGGCCCUGUUCCACAAAUAGGGUUUAAUCAUUUAUGUCUAAGGAAUGGGAACUACGCACAAUAAAUCGUGAAGAACUCUCACAGUGUUUGUUGAUGUUUAU